CAGUGGUGGGGGUUUUCCAUCACAGGGAGGGCCUACAGCUACCAUCACUUCACAUGGAGCUCCUCAAACUCCAACAGGACCUACUGCACAGUUUAACAAUGGAAGUUUCAUUUCACAAGAAGGUGGAUUUUCAGCUCCCUACAGCGGAAACUUCUUUUCACAACAGGGAGGUUACAUGCCUCUUCAUGCUCAUAAUGGACCGGCUGCACAGCUUAGUGGUGGGAACUUCCAUCCACAACAUGGUUCUGUCGGCUCGGUAGCUUCACAGGCCGCUCAUCAAGCUCCAUCUGGACGAGGUUCGCAACAUAACAGUGAUGUUCUGGGCAACGUUUUUUCACAAACAGGGC
rnacentral:lncRNA from 1 species